rnacentral:rRNA from 1 species
UACGUAGGGUGCGAGCGUUAAUCGGAAUUACUGGGCGGAAAGCGUGCGCAGGCGGUUCGUUGUGUCGGCGGGGAAAGCCCCGGGCUCAACCUGGGAAUGGCCGUUGAAACUGGCGAACUGGAGUGUGGCAGAGGGGGGUGGAAUUCCGCGUGUAGCAGUGAAAUGCGUAGAGAUGCGGAGGAACACCGAUGGCGAAGGCAGCCCCCUGGGCUAACACUGACGCUCAGGCACGAAAGCGUGGGGAGCAAACAGG